rnacentral:rRNA from 1 species
CUGGCGGCAGGCCUAACACAUGCAAGUCGAGCGCGCCUUCGGGUGAGCGGCGGACGGGUUAGUAACGCGUGGGAACGUGCCCUUCUCUACGGAAUAGCCUCUGGAAACGGAGAGUAAUACCGUAUACGCCCUUUGGGGAAAAGAUUUAUCGGAGAAGGAUCGGCCCGCGUUAGAUUAGGUAGUUGGUGGGGUAACGGCCUACCAAGCCUACGAUCUAUAGCUGGUUUUAGAGGAUGAUCAGCAACACUGGGACUGAGACACGGCCCAGACUCCUACGGGAGGCAGCAGUGGGGAAUCUUAGACAAUGGGGGCAACCCUGAUCUAGCCAUGCCGCGUGAGUGAUGAAGGCCUUAGGGUCGUAAAGCUCUUUCGCCUGUGAUGAUAAUGACAGUAGCAGGUAAAGAAACCCCGGCUAACUCCGUGCCAGCAGCCGCGGUAAUACGGAGGGGGUUAGCGUUGUUCGGAAUUACUGGGCGUAAAGCGCACGUAGGCGGACUGGAAAGUUGGGGGUGAAAUCCCGGGGCUCAACCUCGGAACUGCCUCCAAAACUAUCAGUCUAGAGUUCGAGAGAGGUGAGUGGAAUUCCGAGUGUAGAGGUGAAAUUCGUAGAUAUUUGGAGGAACACCAGUGGCGAAGGCGGCUCACUGGCUCGAUACUGACGCUGAGGUGCGAAAGUGUGGGGAGCAAACAGGAUUAGAUACCCUGGUAGUCCACACCGUAAACGAUGAAUGCCAGUCGUCGGCAAGUAUACUUGUCGGUGACACACCUAACGGAUUAAGCAUUCCGCCUGG